rnacentral:rRNA from 1 species
GGAGGAAAGCAGGGGAUCGAAAGACCUCGUGCUUUUAGAGCGGCCGAUGCCUGAUUAGUUAGUUGGUAAGGUAAAGGCUUACCAAGGCAACGACCAGUAGUUGGUCUGAGAGGACGACCAGCCACACUGGGACUGAGACACGGCCCAGACUCCUACGGGAGGCAGCAGUGGGGAAUUUUGGACAAUGGGCGAAAGCCUGAUCCAGCCAUGCCGCGUGAGUGAAGAAGGCCUUCGGGUUGUAAGCUCUUUCGGUCGGGAAGAAAUAGUUGUGGCUAAUAUCUGCAACGAAUGACGGUACCGACAUAAGAAGCACCGGCUAACUACGUGCCAGCAGCCGCGGUAAUACGUAGGGUGCAAGCGUUAAUCGGAAUUAUUGGGCGUAAAGGGUGCGCAGGCGGUCGUAUAAGUCAGAAGUGAAAUCCCUGGGCUUAACCUGGGAAUUGCGUUUUUAAAAGGAAGCUAGAAGGGC